CCCAGUGCAUGAAGAAGGUUCAGGGAUUACUUGGUAAGAGGCUGAGAAUGCGCCUCUGGAUUGUCAAUGAAAGGUUCAGACAUGGGGCUCCGAUCAUCAAGGGUGAACUCAAUGAAAGAUAAUCCAUUCCCUUGUGUUACUCCUUCAGCAAAGAUCACAUCCUUCUCUGAAGGUUCAUACUCAUUGCUUGACACCUCAAUGGCCUGCAAGAAUAUGCCAUGUAUAAGAGAAGUCAGUUGAACAAUUCCAAAGAAAACUGAUUAUGCAUGAUACAAACUUCAACUUCGCCGGCACCCAAAAACAACAAAAAUCUUAUAUGUAAUAGGAAACAGGAACCUAAUAACAUAUAGUUACAUGCUCCCGUAAAAACAGCAGUCAAAUGCACAAUAUGAGUAACGCAUAGUGCGAUCUUAUCAAUGGUGGAGCUAUAUUAAUUUUAAAACUCUCAAGUGCAUACCCUGCUCAAGAAGUACUCAGCAACAUCAGGAAGAAAAUGUAACUCGUCCUUUCUUUUAUAUGUUGCUUGUAUGGCCGGAUCCUUCCACAUCUCAUCAACAAAUGGAGCAUAUUCACGUGUUGCAGCAGGGAAGAAUGCAUCUAGAUCGCCCAUGGCUAUAAUAUCCAAAAGCCAAUCCGAGAAUUUCUUUAUGCUUUUGCUUUUCUCCAGGCAUUUUCCUUUCUUUUUCUUAGUGGAAUCAGUUGUCCUUCCAUUUAACCUGAGGCAGAUGCACGAAGCAAGUGUUUUUGAUAAUCAAUAAAGCGUGCCAAAUGGCCUUUUGUAAUAAAAAAAACCUGAGGUAGAUACGGACAGCGGGUCUUUUUUCUCUCUUCUUUUUAGAACAAACAAGCUGACUUUAUAUUUAAUUAACGAACAACUAGAACGACAACAAAGAUUUCAGAAAAAACGGACGUUAGGCACCAGAUUUCCAGAGUCCUGAUAAUGCCUCAAACCCGCACUUUCUUUCCCUUUACUUUGUUCGGGACUUGUUAUUUCCGUUAUGAAUUAAUGGAAAGAGGAGUAGCAUCUAAUGGUGCCAAAUGACAAAUAGUUUUAACAGAAAUUUACAAGGACAGGCUUACCCACCCUCUAGGUGCAAGCAUUUGCUUAGUUUAUAGAAAACAAGUUCAUAAUAUCAUUCUCUAACAACCAGAAAUCCAUAUCCUCUGUAAUCGACAUCAAUUGCCAUCAUCAUACAGUGCAAUUUUCUAACUCAAGUCCAACCAAUGUAUACAUGUCAGGCUGAAUUGUCAUUCUCAGAUCCAUACUGAAGCUGAUCUACCUGUGUACAGAUUAGAGAGCUACUACAUACAUGCCAGGCUGGGCAAUAACAUCAGGAGACCAAACAAGUCAGGCUUUGGUCUCUCAAGACUCAAGAUACACACACACACAUGAGAAAAUUUCCAAAGGGAUAAUCUGUAAAUUAAUUAUAUUACAAAUCAAUGAUUUCUUUUCGGGGGUAUGGUGCGAAACCGAAUCAGUUGGUGGAAUCAUCGACCGGAGCCUUCGGGUGGGUCUCAUUCCGCUCUGAUAAAAGGAGAGGAGCUCAUCUCGGUGGUGCUGUAGAACGACUCCUCCUGGUAGUAGUUCUCGUCCUUCUCCUCCUCCCACUUGAGGACCUCCCUUAUGUACUUGAACGCCUCGUCGACCGUCUGGCGGUCGCGGCCGCGGGCCUGCCACACGAAGAGCUUCCGGUUCGUGUGGGCAGCGUACAUGUCCUUGAACUUCAUCGCAAUGUAGUAGUACGCCUGCUGGGCGAGAGACUGGUUGUUGUUGUGUGUCCGAACUGGGGAAAAAUCGUUGAACCACUCGCAGGUCGAGAGAGGGGCGCGGUUUAUCUUCUCCUCGAAAAGGUCAUACUUAUUGAGCACCAGAACAAAAGGUGUAUCACAAAAGCAUGGUUGCCUGGUUCAACAGAAGAGAAUGAUUCAUGAUUUUUGCUGACUAAUAAAAUUAGUGAUUUCUAUUUUGAAGACCGUACCAACACCAAGAAUAGCAGUUACGGAAAAAGUUUAGCAUACCGGAUUGUAGCCUCAAAUAACUCUUUGCUUUGUAUCAUCUUGUUCAGAAGAAGCCGGCUAUUGCCAUUUACAGGGGGUCCCACUUGGUCAUAGUCACUGAGUGCUACACAGAAUAUCACCAUGCGGACAUCCUCAAACAUUUCCACCCAUUUGCAACCAUCAUUCAUGCCCUUGGCAUUAACUCUAAUCAGCUGAUAUCUGAGGAGCAAAAUAUAUAAGAUUAAGUGGGCACGAUUUAGAUGAUUUUUGCCCAGUGCAUGAAGAAGGUUCAGGGAUUACUUGGUAAGAGGCUGAGAAUGCGCCUCUGGAUUGUCAAUGAAAGGUUCAGACAUGGGGCUGCGAUCAUCAAGGGUGAACUCAAUGAAAGAUAACCCAUUCCCUUGUGUUACUCCCUCAGCAAAGAUCACAUCCUUCUCUGAAGGUUCAUACUCAUUGCUUGACACCUCAAUGGCCUGCAAGAAUAUGCCAUGUAUAAGAGAAGUCAAUUGAACAAUUCCAACGAAAACUAAUUAUGCAUGAUACAAACUUCAACUUCGCCGGCACCAAAAAACAACGAAAA
rnacentral:lncRNA from 1 species